AAUUAUCUUGAUUGUACUCGUUCAAAAAAAUCUCUAAUGUUACCAUUCUACCCUUGUCCUCAUCUCCCUCAUUUUUCCGUUCCAUGAUGAUUUCGGUCGCCGGAUCCCACACCGCCGCCAUCACCUCCCCUCCAGCCGACUGUGAAUUAGAACAUUCGCUUCUCUGCCGUACCGUUGUAUCUUCCAGCAAACUAUUAUCUCCAUAUACCUUGUGACCCACCUCUUUUACAAAGACAUUGAAGCCACUAGUACCUACAGUGAUAUGCACCCAUUUCUUGAUGACACCAAACACACAAGUAUCAAUUAGCACACGGCCAAACCUGAAUGAUAAGGCUGAUUCUGUUAUUUCGUCACAUUUGAUUACUUCUCCCCAUAGGCCACCUAUCCUGGUGAACGUCUCCACUGACUAAGUAUGUAGCGGCACUCCUAAUCCUAAUUUGUUUUUUUCAGGUCCGCUGAAAGUUACACCAUUUAUGGUCGAGUGAAGAUCCCCAGCAAUUUAGGAACAAAAGACUAUAUAAUUCCCGGAAAAGUGUCGAAUAUCAAAGUCAUACUCAAUGGUGGUCAGAGAGUUACUUUUUUUAGGCCUGAUGGAUAUUUCUCAUUCCACAACGUCCCAAAUAUUUCUUGAUGGAUGCUUCAUGAGGUCUGAAAAUUAUAGCUUCUUUGAUGAGUAUGCAGGGCCAGGGGACAAGGCUGUUUGUGGCAACAAAACUAGGACGAAUUUGAGUUUUCGAGCGGCCGCAAAGCAGGCUCUUUUGGAAGUAGUUCAAUCUGCACCAAACAGCAUAGGAUACUAUGCAAGAGGGAAGAUUGAUGUUUCUGGAAGUAGUUCAAGCUGCACCAAACACCAAAAUUUGAUUUGUGAAAU